AUACGUAAGCCCCAAGCAUUACCCGGAAUCACUGGGUGUAAAGGGUUCGUAGGUGGAAAAGUAAGUUAGGUAUGAAAGACCGGAGCUCAACUCCGUGUUUGUAUUUAAAACUGCUUUUCUAGAAUCAGGGAGAGGUAAGCGGAAUUCUAAGUGUAGGGGUGCAAUCCGUAGAUACUUAGAAGAACACCAAAAGCGAAGGCAGCUUACUGGAACUGUAUUGACACUGAGGAACGAAAGCAUGGGUAGCGAAAAGGAUUAGAAACCCUAGUAGUCC
rnacentral:rRNA from 1 species